rnacentral:rRNA from 1 species
AGCAGCCGCGGUAAUUCCAGCUCCAAUAGCGUAUAUUAAAGUUGUUGCAGUUAAAAAGCUCGUAGUUGAAUUUCGGGAUCAAUAUGUUGGUCGUGCCAUUGGUACGUACUGGCAUUAUUGGUUUCUACCUUCUGAAGAACCUCGAUGUCAUUAAUUUGGUGUCUUGGGGAAUCAGGACUGUUACUUUGAAAAAAUUAGAGUGUUUAAAGCAGGCUCGCGCUUGAAUACAUUAGCAUGGAAUAAUGAAAUAGGACGUUUGAUUCUAUUUUGUUGGUUUCUAGGAUCGACGUAAUGAUUAAUAGGGAUAGUUGGGGGCAUUAGUAUUCAAUUGUCAGAGGUGAAAUUCUUGGAUUUAUUGAAGACUAACUACUGCGAAAGCAUUUGCCAAGGAUGUUUUCAUUAAUCAAGAACGAAAGUUAGGGGAUCGAAGACGAUCAGAUACCGUCGUAGUCUUAACCAUAAACUAUGCCGACUAGGGAUCGGAUGAUGUUAAUUUUUUAAUGACUC